rnacentral:rRNA from 1 species
ACGAACGCUGGCGGCGUGCUUAACACAUGCAAGUCGCACGGAAAGGCCCUGCUUUUGUGGGGUGCUCGAGUGGCGAACGGGUGAGUAACACGUGAGUAACCUGCCCUUGACUUUGGGAUAACUUCAGGAAACUGGGGCUAAUACCGGAUAGGAGCUCCUGCUGCAUGGUGGGGGUUGGAAAGUUUCGGCGGUUGGGGAUGGACUCGCGGCUUAUCAGCUUGUUGGUGGGGUAGUGGCUUACCAAGGCUUUGACGGGUAGCCGGCCUGAGAGGGUGACCGGCCACAUUGGGACUGAGAUACGGCCCAGACUCCUACGGAAGGCAGCAGUGGGGAAUAUUGCACAAUGGGCGGAAGCCUGAUGCAGCAACGCCGCGUGCGGGAUGACGGCCUUCGGGUUGUAAACCGCUUUCGCCUGUGACGAAGCGUGAGUGACGGUAAUGGGUAAAGAAGCACCGGCUAACUACGUG